GCAGCAGUGGGGAAUAUUGCACAAUGGGCGCAAGCCUGAUGCAGCCAUGCCGCGUGUGUGAAGAAGGCCUUCGGGUUGUAAAGCACUUUCAGUCGUGAGGAAGGUGGUGUAGUUAAUAGCUGCAUCAUUUGACGUUAGCGACAGAAGAAGCACCGGCUAACUCCGUGCCAGCAGCCGCGGUAAUACGGAGGGUGCGAGCGUUAAUCGGAAUUACUGGGCGUAAAGCGCAUGCAGGUGGUUUGUUAAGU
rnacentral:rRNA from 1 species